GACGAACGCUGGCGGCGUGCCUAAUACAUGCAAGUCGAACGAAGCUGUUUUAACUGGUGCUUGCACCGACUUAAACAACUGAGUGGCGAACGGGUGAGUAACACGUGGGUAACCUGCCCCAAAGCGGGGGAUAACAUUUGGAAACAGAUGCUAAUACCGCAUAAUCACAGAAACCACAUGGUUUCUGUGUCAAAGAUGGUUUCGGCUAUCACUUUGGGAUGGACCCGCGGCGUAUUAGCUAGUUGGUAAGGUAAUGGCUUACCAAGGCAAUGAUACGUAGCCGAACUGAGGGGUUGAUCGGCCACAUUGGGACUGAAACACGACCCAAACUCCUACGGGAGGCAGCAGUAGGGAAUCUUCCACAAUGGACGAAAGUCUGAUGGAGCAACGCCGCGUGAGUGAAGAAGGUUUUCGGAUCGUAAAACUCUGUUGUCAGAGAAGAACGUGUGCGAGAGUAACUGUUCGUGCAGUGACGGUAUCUGGCCAGAAAGCCACGGCUAACUACGUGCCAGCCGCCGCGGUAA
rnacentral:rRNA from 1 species